rnacentral:rRNA from 1 species
CCUACGGUGGCUGCAGUGAGGAAUAUUGGUCAAUGGGCGAGAGCCUGAACCAGCCAAUUCGCGUGCGGGAUGAAGGCCCUUGUGGUCGUAAACCGCUUUUAUCAGCGAAUAAAGUGCACCACGUGUGGUGUCAUUGCAGGUAGCUGAAGAAAAAGGACCGGCCAAUUCCUUGCCAGCAGCCGCGGUAAUCCGGAAGGUCCGGGCGUUAUCCGGAAUCAUCGGGUUUUAAGGGUGCGCAGGCGGGAGCAUAAGUCAGCUGUUAAAUAUCAGAGCCCAACUCUGUUAUGCAGUUGAGACUAUAGUUGUUGAGAACGAAGAGGGAUGGCGGAAUUCAGGGUGUAGCGGUGAAAUGCCUAGAUAUCCUGAAGAACUCCGAUCGCGAAGGCAGCAAACCGGAGCAUAACUGACGCUGAGGCUCGAAGGUGCGGGUAUCGAACAGGAUUAGAUACCCUUGUAAUC